CCCAGACUCCUACGGGAGGCAGCAGUGGGGGAUAUUGCACAAUGGGGGAAACCCUGAUGCAGCGACGCCGCGUGAAGGGAGAAGUAUUUCGGUAUGUAAACUUCUAUCAGCAGGGAAGAAAAUGACGGUACCUGACUAAGAAGCCCCGGCUAACUACGUGCCAGCAGCCGCGGUAAUACGUAGGGGGCAAGCGUUAUCCGGAUUCACUGGGUGUAAAGGGAGCGUAGACGGCGACGCAAGUCUGGAGUGAAAGCCCGGGGCCCAACCCCGGGACUGCUCUGGAAACUGCGUCGCUGGAGUACGGGAGGGGCAGGCGGAAUUCCUGGUGUAGCGGUGAAAUGCGUAGAUAUCAGGAGGAACACCGGCGGCGAAGGCGGCCUGCUGGACCGUGACUGACGUUGAGGCUCGAGAGCGUGGGGAGCAAACAGGAUUAGAUACCCCAGUACGA
rnacentral:rRNA from 1 species